UCAAGACCCAGAGAUCAUGACCUGAGCCGAAGUCGGACGCUCAACUGACUGAGCCACGCAGCCUCAGAUUCCAAGAAAGCCUUUGCUGCAGCCUGGUCAGUCACACACAGGCACCGGCUGGGGAGAAUGUCAAAGUCCUGGCAAAUUCCACUCUGGACAAGACGGUAAACUUGGGAAACAUCUGCGACUUUUUCAGUUUACAAAGACUUCCUCUCAAGCCAUUAAAACAUGACAAGCCCUGUGUCCUGGAGCCUUGGAAGAACAGUGGAACACCAACAGAAAAACCAACCAACCAACACAACCAACAAAUAAACUAUCAUACUCAUG